AACCAUAGAAACCUGCGGAGUACCUGCGGAAGGAUCAUUACAAAUUAUGGUGAACCUCGUGAAAGCGAGGUUUUACAUCCAUUACCUUCUGUAUUUAAAACAUCCGCUCAUAAAAAAAAAAAUUUUAAUAAUAAAAUUAAAAAAUAACUUUUAACAACGGAUCU
rnacentral:misc_RNA from 1 species